CAGUCGCCGCGGUAAUACGAAGGGUGCAAGCGUUGUCCGGAUUUAUUGGGUUUAAAGGGUGCGUAGGCGGCCUAAUAAGUCAGUGGUGAAAGCCUCCAGCUUAACUGGAGAACUGCCAUUGAUACUGUUAGGCUUGAGUAUACUUGAGGUAGGCGGAAUUGACAGUGUAGCGGUGAAAUGCGUAGAUAUUGUCAAGAACACCAAUUGCGAAGGCAGCUUACUAAAUUAUAACUGACGCUGAGGCACGAAAGUGUGGGUAUCAAACAGGAUUAGAUACCCCAGUAGUCCCUGUCUCUUAUAA
rnacentral:rRNA from 1 species